rnacentral:rRNA from 1 species
UACGUAGGGUGCAAGCGUUGUCCGGAAUUAUUGGGCGUAAAGAGCUCGUAGGCGGUCUGUCACGUCGGCUGUGAAAACCUGGGGCUCAACUCCGGGCCUGCAGCCGAUACGGGCAGACUAGAGUUCGGCAGGGGAGACUGGAAUUCCUGGUGUAGCGGUGAAAUGCGCAGAUAUCAGGAGGAACACCGGUGGCGAAGGCGGUUCUCUGGGAAUGUCCUGACGCUGAGGAGCGAAAGUGUGGGGGAGCGAACAGG